AUUUGCCAUCUCCGUCUUCAUCGCUGCUCUGUCUAAAACUGACUCUCCUCCCUUUACCAUUUUAGAAAUCCAAUCAAUACUCUAUAUUCUACAGAAGCAUGGCGUCGCUGCGGUUAGACCCCCAAACAUAUUGCUGAUUUGCAUCCUAUUUACUUCAAUGGAGCAAAACCGCCGCCGCCGCCAAGCAAACGGUUGUCACCGUCGCAACAAUAACAGCCGCCACCUCCGUCACUAACACUUACUCCUUCACCUUCUGCCGUCUCUACCUCCUCAGCACCACCUCUUACUUCAUCGGUCUUCUUCUUCACUCCCUCCGUAAUCCUAGCCUCGCAAAACCCUCAAUCAAGACCAGCUUCAGAACCCCCAUCCUCCUUCGCUAGUUCCCGGCAACAACCCUCGUCUUCUAUGGCCAUAGAGACCCAACCUAUAACAUGCAAUUAGAUAUGGAGUAUCUAAAUGAUAAUCAAAAAAGAGAGAAGAGAUGGAUCUGCCUAAGAUAAGUAGAAUUUUAACUAAGAUGUAUUUUACUCCAAGUAUAACUCUAAUUCCUAUUUUCUAAAUAGUUAGACAUUCAUUUACAGAAAUUUAUUUUAUUUGUUCUGUGUACUUUAGAGGAGUGAAGAGAACCCUAUAUUUUUAUAUUCUAAAAGUAUAAAAACUGGGAUUGCAGUUCCUUUCACUAUGAAAUAUGUAAAUCUGUAUUAAUAAAGAUUUAAAAUAAUCCUUAGAAUUUUCUAACCUAUGAUAGUUGAAUUUUCUAACUUCCCCAUUCUUCUUUAAACUGUUUCUUGCUACCCAGAUGUUUUAUAUGAAAUUUGUAAGUGAAUUUGGAGCAGUACUGAGAUGGGAUAUCUUGAAGAACCAGUUCCUCUUAAAAUAAGUUUUUAAAUGAUUUUCAGCAUUAAUGACUCACAUAAUUCAAAGCAGUUAUAAUUCAUAUUACUUGAAUGUAGUUAGUUUGGAUUUUUUAUAUAAAUUUUUCCUCAUGUAUUUAUCUGUAAUCGUUUCUUUCAAGUUUCAACUUAGAGUUAAUGUUUCUGCUGUUUUAUUUUGAGUUACUUGAUUGUCGUUCAAAGGCAAUUUUCAAUUUGUUUGCUUUACAUGGGUCCAUAGUCACUUACAGCUUACUGAUAAAGUUACAACAUGGGGUAUAUAGUUGUAGAGAAAGUUAAUAUUAAUUCAAAUGCAAUAUUCAAUUAUUACUAUUUUCUUUUCAGUUUAUUUUAUGUUAUUUUAUUUUGGCAGGAAACUCAAAAGCAGGAGAAAAGUGAACUGCUUUUUCAACAGUUUGGUAUCAAUUACAAAAAAUAUGUUCAUGAGUUAUUUCAUCAGGGUUCAUGUGCUCUUCGGAAACAGGUACCACUCUCAAGUAUAUGCCACAUCCUUUGGGCGUUCAAAUGCUCUCCGGCCUCGCUUCUCCGAUUCUUCACCGCGUCUCCGGCUCUCCGCCAUUAGCAUAUCUGGCCUCCUCUCCUUAAAAUAAAUGUCAAAAAUUAAUGGAUUGAGUUCUAUUGUGAUUUUGAUGGGAGUUUCCACAAGAGCUUGGACUUAACAAUUGACCUCUCGGGUGCUUUGCUCAGAUUCCUCAGAAUAUGAUCCUAUAGUUGUGCUUCAAUGUGAACAAUGUGAAUGGGGCUUCAAUGUGAAUGUUGGGAUUUCACUUCUAAGACAUUAGUAUUUAUAGGCUACUUCUCACCAAAAUUUAGAUUCAAAAAAGAUGUAAUUAUUAUUUUUUAGCAUGCUUCCUUUUAUUGUAACUUGUAAAAGUAAAAAAUACAUUGGUAAUGAUAUUAAUCAAUUACUUCUUAUAAAGAGCAAUUAAUAGCAUUGGAAAA